rnacentral:rRNA from 1 species
AUUGAACGCUGGCGGCAGGCCUAACACAUGCAAGUCGAACGAGUGGCGGACGGGUGAGUAAUGUCUGGGCAACUGCCUGAUGGAGGGGGAUAACUACUGGACACGGUAGCUAAUACCGCAUACCAUCAGAUGUUCCCAGAUGGGAUUAGCUUGUUGGUGGGGUAACGGCUCACCAAGGCGACUAUCCCUAGCUGGUCUGAGAGGAUGACCCUCCACACUGGAACGGAUAAACGGUCCAGACUCCUACGUGAGGCAGCAGUGGGGAAGAUUGCACAAUGGGCGCAAGCCUGGUGCAGCCAUGCCGGGUGUAUGAAGAAGGCCUUCGGGUUGUAAAGUACUUUCAGCGGGGAGGCGUUACCCGCAGAAGAAGCACCGGCUAACUCCGUGCCAGCAGCCGGGGUAAUUG